CCUUGGUCAGGGGGCAAAAUGCUCCAGCUGUGUUGAGGGGAAAAACCUUCCACCAAAUCUGCUUUAACAAAGAUUUUCAUCAGUGAAAGCAAUAGAAACCCAGAUGUAGAGUUAGCCCUGGGCCUGCUGUGACUGCUGUCCUUGUACAUGGAGUCUGGUUGGUUUCUGAAUAUCAAAGUUGGGAAUAUUUCCACCCUUAGAAAACAGCUGGACGUAUCAGGCCAAUUUCUGAAAUGAAUUUUGACAACGGCUGUUUGAGGCUCCUGUUUCUAAUACAGUUUGAAACAACAAUUGCCAAUUACAUUGUAAAAAAAGACCAAUCAUGGAAGAUAAUGGAAUUGUAAAACUUUGUGACCUUUUAUAACAAGAGGGCAGCUGAGGAAAAGCUUUACAUUUUGACUGUUAACUGCAUUUUUAAGUAGCAGAGGUGAAUUUGUCGAACAUCCCUGUGCUAUGUGCAGUGUUAUGUCUUGAAACUGCAGGAGAGGUACUGCUGUCAACAUUUCUGGUACAUGCUGUGCUUCCCCACUCUCAUGAAAACAAAUUUUCUGGUUUUCUGGGUUUUUCUUCUCACCAUGCCACCCCAAACAUCUGACUCCCAAUGUAUAAAUUUUCCUAUAAAGUUAAUCCCACACAUCCUUAAAUGCAAGUCUGUCAGAAUUCUUUGUCUCAAUGCUUUUGUGUUUCUCUGGGGGGCACAGCAAGAUGAGAAGUGGCCAAGUCCAGCUGGAGGUGGGCUCCUGCCUGGUUUCUGCAGGAGGAGAACAGACUGUUCAGAGAAUCAUUUAGCAGCUGUUUAUUAGAGGCAUAGCCAUGUGAUUUUGGGGGUAGUGAAACUUGGCAAGAACUUAAAUUUCAAAAGAAAAAACAAACCAAGCAAAGAAAAGCAAAAAAACUGCCAAUCACUGAUCUCCUUCUGCUUUACAGCGAGUUUAAUCUUGUGUUUCAUUCCAAAUUCACAUGGACAUUCCAAUUGUUGUGUGCAGCACCUGAAUAAGAAUCUAAUCACACUGAUAAUUAAUUUGCAAAGAAACUUUUUGAAAAAUGCUGUUAAGUGCAACAAGUUUUGGAAAUGUAAUAGAGAAGCUCACCGGGUGCCCAUUUUUUUAAGUCUGAAGGGCUCUAAUCUAAUCUGACAAAUUGAAUCUGGGAUGAAGCUGCUGCACUGAAUUUCAAGGCCCUCAGCAAUGAGGAAAGUGAUAAACUUUGGUUUCCUUUGACCACUGAGGUAGGAUACAUUUACAGAAUGGAAUUAAACAGACUGAAAAGUCCAAUGCUUUUGCAGGAACUGGGAAAUUGGGUAUUAGGACACAUCCACGUGUAGCUGCAGUCUGCUCCCCCUACAGCAAGGAUCAUUCACCACAUCUGCUCCUGACACAGGAGACAGGCCUUGAAUUCCUUCCUUGAAUUCUUUUGGAUUCAGCAUUCACUCUGUCAGCUCUCCUAAAGCUUUCCUCAUUACUUUUUGUCCCUGUGUCCUUCUAACCAUGCUCAGCUACUCCACAGACUGGGGGUCUGGGAUUCUCCUCUGGAUUACCAGAGCCUUUUCCCCACCUUUGUACCAUAACCCUGGAAAUUUCUUUAGAAAACAAGAUUUCUGUUCAGUAAAUCCCUUUUAACCAAGCAACAGUACAUUAAGAAGAAACUACAAUAUCUAAAAUAAAAAAUAAAGCUGACAUGAAAGCUGAGGUUUCACCCCAAAGUGCAAGAAAGGCAAAGAAUUAACUGAAGUUUAUAUUCCCUCUCAGUUUGUAUGUGGGAAGUGUUCAGAUACUGUGCUGAUGAGGGGUGAUAUAAAGUGGUUGCAUAAUAUCAGAGUUUAAAGAAAAGGGUGUGGAAAGCCAGUGUGAAGAUGUGUGAAUUCUGAGGAAAAUUUGAGUUACAAUUAAUCUGGAUAAUGCUGCAGAAGGAUUUUCACUGAAGUCCAGUCACCAGGGGUUGAGACUCCCAGAAAAAAAUUUCUUGUUCAUCAGGAAACACCUUUGAGCAUGAUUUUAAAUACUGUGAGCAUCCACACAGUCAAUUUUUGCGAGGCUGAUCCCUUAGGAGGAAGAGAAUUAGAAAAAUGCUUUAAUUUCCUUUGCUGUUCAGCUGCAGUAGUUCAUCAGGAUGGACAGAUGAACAUUUCUGUUUUCCUGGGCAGACAAGCAUUUGCCUUUGUCCUUUCUGUUGCUUGGAGAACUGCUGAACAUAUUUUUAAGUAGAAAGUUGUGUAAAACAAGAACUGAGGUGUAUCUGCCUGAGAAGAAGCUGCUGCAACAGAUCUGAAGCUGCCAUUCAAUGGAAAAUUCAGAAACCAAUUUUUUUUUUUUUGCCAAAGGAGUGAAAUAGCUCCUGGAAAAUCUGCCUCGCAGUCACGGAAAACACAAACAUUUCUAUUAGACAGGCUGGAAGGAUAGGAAAGGGCAGGUGAUAAGGGAGGGGGGGUCUCCUAGAUUUGGGUAUUGCCAGAGGCCAGCUCAGGGUGGUGCCACCACAACCAACACAGCUGCCCGUGGUGUGUGCUGUGAAAUCCACGGGAUCCCGUCAUCCUUGGCAAAAGCUGCAGCUGCAUCCUCUGUGCCACAGCCAUCCCAGCUUCUGGGGCUUUAGACUGUGUCCCUCCACUUCCCCUUCUCUGCAGGAGAGAGAAAAGAUGCUGCUUCUGCCUUUGUUGCUCACUGUGCCAAGAUCCUGGAGUGUCUGGAGUGCUGAAAACGCUUUAACAGCGCCGAGCGGAGCCGGCUGCUCCGCGUUCUGCCAGCGUGCUGACAGCUCACUUCUGGAAACUUUAAUUCUACAGAGGCAGCGAUUUGCCUGCAAUUUCUGAUUUUUAGUUCUUUUAUUCAGCCUUAAGAGGGGAUUCACGGUACAAAGUGGGCAGAGCAGCACUGCAGGCAGAGGCUCCCAGGCCCCCUCUCCAUUGAAUGUGACGCACUUGGCUGCAGCACUCACUCUGUCUUGGAAGCUGCAUCUCCCUGUUCCAGCAGAACAUUUCAAUCUGAGUUUGUAAAAAAGCACAUCUGAUGCAUACACUGCCCUUAAAAGUGGGAAGAGCCUGUAAAAUGUCGGGAUUGGCCAAAGCCAUGACUUGGAACUCAAUUGUGGGUUUGUGCUUGAGGCUGGGAGAGAGUGGCUGCUCCUGAACCACGAUUUCAGCAAUGGGCUGAGGUCAAUCCUGGCUUCCCAACUCCUUUCUCAGGGUCUGCAUCCUCUUUUCUGUGCUUCAGACUACUGUAAACUAUGAAUUUUGUGGUUUUACAUUCCUGAGAAGACAAAAGAUUCUCCUUUAGCACAGUGUCUGAUCCUUGGGCUUGUGAGACCUCUUAUUGUGUGUGAUAAAUUUGAUCAAUGUGAUCUUCCUUCCACCUGCUGCAUUGCUGUUUCUGCUGUCUCUGCUCUAGUGCCACUGAUAUUUGGAGCAGAUUUUCAAGAGAGAGAGGAAAAUUCCCUCUUCCCCAUAUAUUUUUCAUCCUUUUGCUUUCCCCAGCCCCACAAAAUCCCCUGAUGUUUCUGCCUUCUCUUUCGCCAUUAACAACAAUGUUUUGUGACAAGAGCUAUAGUUGCAGUCAGCAUGGAAAAUUUGCUGUUAUUUUAAAUAACCAUCUGCUCUCCCCACAGUCUGCUACCUCACCCUUAAUUUCUUUAUUUUUUGAAUGUUUAUUUUGAUUAGCUUUGUCACAUGGUGCUAUAAGGAAAUCUUGCUUCACUUCACACGCUGCUGCCAUGUUGAUACAGAAAACUGGCUUACAACCAAAAAGAUGCUAUUUUUUUCCAUUCUCUCUCCUUUUUUUUUUUUCACCAGAAAAAGUUUUAUGUAACAAAGUGUUGUGUAAGGAGGAGAACAGCAGGGAGUACAUCAGAACUGAUGGAUUUUAUUUCAUCUUUGUCACAAAUCCACUGUGGAACACUGGGCAAAGUCAGUACAAUCCUAAUUUUCUUAUUUGGAUCAAUGUGAGAGCUACUGAAAUCUCUGCAGUAGAUCCAUAGUCACACAUGUGUAACAAGGAUCAAACUCUAACCCAGAGCAAAAAUAGAAUCUUGGAAGAACCUUCUAAACCAGGGAGGAGCUGAUGCACUAAAAUAGGUCACCUUUGUUUAUUUACAUUAAAAUUGUUGGCACACAGAUCUUGAAUUUCAGAGUAAUAUUUAAAUGUGGGUGUUUGAUAUCUGUGCUGUAAAUGCUGUUUCUCCAUUAGAUGUGCACUGACCACAGUGCACAAGGUUGUGGUAACUAAACAGCCACAAUUCUGGGUGGGAAAUCUGCACAUGUGGUGGAAAUGGCCCAAACCACAAGAAAUCUCUC